rnacentral:rRNA from 1 species
CCCGUAGGGCGCAAGCGUUGUCCGGAAUUAUUGGGCGUAAAGAGCUCGUAGGCGGUCUGUUGCGUCCGCUGUGAAAACUCGGGGCUUAACCCCGAGCCUGCAGUGGAUACGGGCAGACUAGAGGUAGGUAGGGGAGAAUGGAAUUCCCGGUGUAGCGGUGAAAUGCGCAGAUAUCGGGAGGAACACCGGUGGCGAAGGCGGUUCUCUGGGCCUUACCUGACGCUGAGGAGCGAAAGCGUGGGGAGCGAACAGG